rnacentral:ribozyme from 14 species
AGAAAGAGAGAGAGAGAGAGAAAGAGAAAGAGAGAAAAAGAGAAAUGAUCUACACAAACAUUUAUAUAUAGUUGUCAAAUUCAUCGCUUGUAUUACACUUUUUGUUUAAUGUUUCCCCUCACGCACUCUCUCUCUCUCACAAUUUUUAUUUUUACA